GGCAGAAGUGAAACAUCUGGACAUUGGGUCGCUUCAGGGAGCCUUGCACAGAGAUUGUUUUUCCCAACAUGCUGAGGAAGCCAAGCUGAAAAAUCUUGCAGAGGCUUGGACAAAAGAACCAAGGCAACCUGUCUUAAGAGCUGGGUUUGCUUGCCAUCAGCCAUAAUGGUGGAGGAUUCCAAGAGCUAAAGCCUUCCCAAGCUGUGCAUGAGAACCGAACCUCUCCCCUCCAAGCCUCCCGACAAUCUCUGUAUUUUUUAAUGUGCUGCAAAAGUAACUUGCA